AAUGAACGUUGGCGGCGUGGAUUAGGCAUGCAAGUCGAGGGAGAACCCGCAAGGGGGACACCGGCGAACGGGGUAGGAUCACGUAGGUGACGUACCCUCAGGGCGAGGAUAGCCACGGGAAACUGUGGGUAAUACUCGAUAACCUUCUCGAAUGUGAUGGUUUGAGAAGCAAUGGGUGUGAUUCCACCUGAGGAGCGGCUUACGCAGUAUCAGCUAGUUGGUGAGGUAACGGCUCACCAAGGCUUUGACGCUUAGGGGGUGUGAGAGCAUGGCCCCCACCACUGGCACUGAGACACUGGCCAGACACCUACGGGUGGCUGCAGUCGAGAAUCUUCGGCAAUGGACGAAAGUCUGACCGAGCGACGCCGCGUGCGGGGAUGAAGGUCUUCGGAUUGUAAACCGCUGUCAGAGGGGAUGAAGUAUACGAGAGCUAUCUCUUGUAUUUGACAGAGCCUCAGAGGAAGCACGGGCUAAGUUCGUGCCAGCAGCCGCGGU
rnacentral:rRNA from 1 species